GGGCAUCGGAUUCCAUUACAGACAGUUUGUGAGCCAACAUGUGCUUGCUUGGACUUGAACUCAGGACCUCUGGAAGAGCAAUCAGUGCCCUUAACUGCUGAUCCAUCUGUCCAGCCCUGGUACAUCUUCUUGAUGGGUGUGGGAAGGCCCAGUUCACUCUGGGUGGUGCCAUCCCUAGGCUGGUGGUCCUGGAGGCUGUAAGAAAGCAGGCUGAGCAGGCCAUGAGGCAUAAGCCGGUAAUCAGUCCCCCUCUGUGACUUCCGUGCCAGCUCCUUCCCUGCUCCAGUUCCUGCCUCGACGUCUUCCUCAGCAACGGAGUGUGACCUGAGAAUUCUGAGAUGAAAUAACCCCUUCCGUCCCCCAAGUUGUUUUUGAUCAUGGUGUUUUAUCACAGUAAUAGAACCUAAGGCGGAUUGAUGUGAAAAAUGAGGAAGCCUACGGCACCGGAGAAUCAGAGGGCCGGGUGCGAUAGAUAUUAAGAUGAGUACGUGCAAGUCUGGAUGCUCUGUGGUGUCCGAGCUCCCAGCAUGUCCCCAGGUCAAGCUGAGGACACGGAAUCCCCGGAAUUUUCUUUCCUGAGGACAACAACCGUGGCCUAUUUAUUGGCUUCAGUUGCUAUGAAGUGACCGCGCCACCGAAGGGAAGCUGGUGCCCUUAGCUCUACCCAAUCCUCUGGAGGAAUCACCAUGAAUCUCCCAACAGCAAAUCUUAGCUGGGGAUGCACAGAGCUGGGAGCAUCGUCCACAGGAGUGAGUUCUAGAGGGUCCUGAAGAACUCCAUAUCAUCAGACUACAGAGACACCUGCACACCCGAGUUUACUGCAGCACUUGUCCCUGUAGCUAAGGUGGAACCAACUUAGUGCCCAGCAUCACCGAAUACGUAAGGAAAAUGUGUAUACACUCAAUGGAAGUUUUCACACAGUUAUAUCCUUUGUGGAAAAUGAACACAACGGAGACAAUCAGAUUAAACGAAUUAAACCAGUCUCAGAACCGAAAGACAGAUUUUGUAUGUUUACCCGCAUUUCUAGUCCCUGGAUUUUAUACAGUCAUAAAUAAUCAUGAUUAUAUAGAUUAAGAGCACAAGUGAAGUGAAGUAAGGGAACAGGGGUGGAUCAAUGAAAGGAGGGGCGAAGAAAGGGACCCUGGGGCCAGGCCAAGUGCUCAGCACACAAUGAAUACGUGUCAGAAACUAAAAACAAUAUAUACCAUAAACAUAUAUAUAGUAUAUGUAAACUAUACAUACUGUUUAUAUGUGUAUAUAUUUAAAGCAAUUUUAUAUACUUACAUUUAAAACAAUUUUUAUAUAUUGUUUAUAUAUUAUAAACAAAUAUUAUCUAAACAAUAUAUAAAUAUAUGUGUGUAUAAUAUUGUUUAAUAUAAUAUGUAUGUAUAUAAUGUAUAUGUAUUAAAGUGUUCUUUGUAUUACAGAGUUGUGAGGAUUCUGGAUGGGGUAGGAUCAGGUUGGUGGGUAACGGUUCUCUGCGUCUUACAUUUGCCUGCUGCAGUUGAGCUUCUGAAGGCUUGCAGGCUGGCUGGCUACCAGGGACCCUUGAACUGCAGGUGCUGAUUUGAAGGAUGCUGCAGGGAGGAUCCCAAGGCCCAGGGAUGCUACAGCGCUUGUCCCUGAUUCCUUGGUGCUGUUGAUGCCCCAGAUCUGUGAACCACAGUUUGGGCAGCAAGGUUCUCUUAAACCUCUCACCCACAGGGACAUCCUCUGUGGUAGUUCAGAAACCUACGCAGAGAGUCCUGAGUCCCCACAGGCUGGUCCACCUCAGCUGGGACUUGUCACAUCAAAGUCUUACUGCAGCAAGGAGAAAGUGCUGUCACUGUCACGUCACCAGAAAGCAAAGGGGGUGGGAAAGAAAGGGGUGACCUGCCAGAAAACACUGUGAGCAGGCUAAUUUGCACCUGUGCUAAUUGGGCUGGAAGUCGCUCUCAUUUACCUUCCCAGUCAUUCCAUCUCUUCAGAUUAAGGAAGAAUUAGGAAAAAAGAAAAAAAAAAAGACUCUGGAGAAAUGGCCGCUCCAUGGAAACACAAUUUGCAUACAUAACAAUUCAGUCUAUAGAGAUGCUGCUCAUCUCUGUCCGCACAACUAGAAUUACCCGGGGAAA